GUCCACGCCCUAAACGAUGUCAACUAGGUGUUGGGAGCGCAAGUUCUCAGUACCGCAGCUAACGCGUGAAGUUGACCGCCUGGGGAGUACGGUCGCAAGAUUAAAACUCAAAGGAAUUGACGGGGACCCCGCACAAGCGGUGGAUGAUGUGGAUUAAUUCGAUGCAACGCGAACAACCUUACCUACCCUUGACAUGUCUGGGACCCUGCUGAAAGGCGGUGGUGCCCGAAAGGGAACCGGAACACAGGUGCUGCAUGGCUGUCGU
rnacentral:rRNA from 1 species